GCAGCAUGUCCUCAGACAUGCAGGUGCCGCGCAAUGAAGCGAACCACAAGAAGCCACCAGCAUGACAGCAUGAAAGCAGGGGCCAUGGCUACUAACCAUGAAGCUAGAGAGACACACCCAUCGCUUCCUUCUGUCAACAAAAUCAUCUGUGGUGCUGCACUGAACACACACUCACCGAGUAUGCCAUCCAGUAACGAGAAAGCCCAGCGGACCGCUUAACACCCACUAUUCCAUCUGAGUAGGAGGUG
rnacentral:lncRNA from 1 species